rnacentral:rRNA from 1 species
CGCGUAGGUGGCCUGGCAAGUUGGGUGUGAAAUCCCCUGGCUCAACUGGGGGGAGUCAUCCGAUACUGCCAAGCUUGAGUCAGGCAGAGGAAGGUAGAAUUCCCGGUGUAGUGGUGAAAUGCGUAGAUAUCGGGAGGAAUACCAGUGGCGAAGGCGGCCUUCUGGGCCUGUACUGACGCUGAGGUGCGAAAGCGUGGGGAGCGAACCGGAUUAGAUACCCGGGUAGUCCACGCAGUAAACGAUGGACACUAGGUGUGGGGGGUAUCGACCCCUCCCGUGCCGCAGCUAACGCAUUAAGUGUCCCGCCUGGGGAGUACGGCCGCAAGGCUAAA